GGCUAUGGUUCUAGUUCACUGCUGUGAUCACUUCACUCCAGCUGCCAGAGUAUCCCGCUGACCCCAUUCUUUGCAGUGGAGUUGUGAUGUUGCAGAAUCAUAAUUCUCUACCAGCUGCUUAUUUUAGAGUCAUCUGGGUCUGGGGAUGGUUCUGGACAAAAAUACAAAUUUGGAGACCCAUCACUGGUUUGUAGGAUCAGUGAGAUCAUGAAAACUAGAAGUAAUUUCAACGCGACUUUUUUUAUUUACUUUGGAAAUGGUUCAGUUGGACACAUGAGUGAUAAGGUUGUUAAUAAAUAUACCAGAGAAUAAUGGUCCUGCUAUUGAUGGAUCCCAAGGGAGAAUUCCUAUUAAUCACUUCAAUCUUAGGGAGCACAAAGGAAAGGCCAUGCGAGGACACAGGGAGAAGACAGGCCCCUACCAGUCAGGAAGGGAGCCCUCACCAGAAACUGAGCUGGCCAGCACAAUGGUCUUGGACUUGUAGCUCCAGAACUGUGAGGAAAUAAAUUUCUGUUGUUGAAGCCACCCAGUCUGUGAUUUUUUUUAUGGCAGUACUAGCAGAUUGAUAUACCUUCCAUCUAGUUGCCUGAAAA
rnacentral:lncRNA from 10 species